AACGAACGCUGGCGGCAUGCCUAACACAUGCAAGUCGAACGAGACCUUCGGGUCUAGUGGCGCACGGGUGCGUAACGCGUGGGAACCUGCCCUUAGGUUCGGAAUAACUCCCCGAAAGGGGUGCUAAUACCGGAUAAUGUCUUCGGACCAAAGAUUUAUCGCCUUUGGAUGGGCCCGCGUUGGAUUAGCUAGUUGGUAGGGUAAAAGCCUACCAAGGCGACGAUCCAUAGCUGGUCUGAGAGGAUGAUCAGCCACACUGGGACUGAGACACGGCCCAGACUCCUACGGGGGGCAGCAGUGGGGAAUAUUGAAAAAUGGGGGAAGGCCUGACCCAGCAAGGCCGGGUGAGUGAGGAAGGCCUUAGGGUUGUAAAGCUCUUUUCCCCGGGAGGAUAAUGACAGUACCGGGAGAAUAAGCUCCGGCUAACCCCGU
rnacentral:rRNA from 1 species